GACAGGGGGAAAGUGUUCUUCGGAAUAACUGGGCGUAAAGGGCACGUAGGCGGUUAAUCGGGUUGAAAGUCAAAGUUGCCAAAAACUGGCAGAAUGCUCUCGAACCAAUUCAGUUGAGUGAGAUAAAGGAGAGUGGAAUUUCGUGUGUAGGGGUGAAAUGCGUAGAUCUACAAAGGAAUUCCAAAAGCGAAGGCAGCUCUCUAGGUCCCUACUGACGUUAGGGUGCAAAAGCAUGGGGAGCGAACAAG
rnacentral:rRNA from 1 species